rnacentral:rRNA from 1 species
GUGGAUUAGAUACCCUAGUAGUCCUAGCAGUAAACGGUGCACGCUUGGUGUGAGGGGAAUCGACCCCCCUUGUGCCGGAGCUAACGCGUUAAGCGUGCCGCCUGGGAAGUACGGUCGCAAGACUAAAACUCAAAGAAAUUGACGGGGACCCGCACAAGCGGUGGAGUAUGUGGCUUAAUUCGAUGCAACGCGAAGAACCUUACCAAGGCUUGACAUGCAUCUCUAAACACGUGAAAGCGUGUGACCCUUCGGGGAAUUUGCACAGGUGCUGCAUGGUUGUCGCCAACU